rnacentral:tRNA from 1 species
CGGGGCAUGGCGCAGUUUGGUAGCGCACCUGCUUUGGGAGCAGGGGGUCGGGGGUUCAAAUCCCUCUGCCCCGAUCA